UAGGGGAACAGAAGGUGUUAAAUUAGACAGAUGUAAGCAGAGAAAACAACACCUAGGAAAACUGAGUCUUCUGCAAAACUGAGCAGUUGUACAGCUUAACUGGAAAUGAGGAUUUUCAUUACCUUGCUAAGAAGCUAGAUUCUUUAGCUUUCCGUGGGCUUGCCAGGCUCUGCAGAUCAUGGGCUGGAAACCAAUGAUUUAGGCAGUAGAAGAUACUCUUCCCUUCCUCAGGAGUCAACUCUGUGUAAAACAGGCAUGUAACCCCGUGCCUCCAAAGAUAAUGCAAAAUAAAAACAGUAAUGCUUAUCCAGC